rnacentral:rRNA from 1 species
GACGAACGCUGGCGGCGUGCUUAACACAUGCAAGUCGAACGGAAAGGCCCUGCUUGCAGGGUACUCGAGUGGCGAACGGGGGAGUAACACGUGAGUGAUCUGCCCCGCACUUCGGGCUUAGCCUGAGCAACUGGGUAUAAUACCGGAUAGGAGCUAUUUUUAGUGUGUUGGUUGGUGAGUUUUUUCGGUGUAGGGUGGGCUCGCGGCCUAGCAGCUCGGUGGUUGGGUAAUGGCCUGGAAAGGCGGCGACGGGUAGCCGGGCUGAGAGGGUGGACGGCCACAGUGGGGCUGAGAAACGGCCCAGACUCCUACGGGAGGCAGCAGUGGGGAGUAUUGCACAAGGGGCGCAGGCGUGAGGCAGCGACGCCGCGUGGGGGAUGACGGCCUUCGGGUUGUAAACUCCUUUCGCUAGGGACGAAGCGUGUUGUGACGGUACCUAGAUAAGAAGCACCGGCUAACUACGUG